rnacentral:rRNA from 1 species
GGUGAACGCUGGCGGUGUGCCUAAGACAUGCAAGUCGAACGGGAUUUGUUGUCUACACUAAGAUUAUUUAUAUAGUUUUAGUGUAGAUAAUAGAUCUAGUGGCGAACGGGUGAGUAACAGAUAGGAACGUACUUUAAAGAGGGGGAUAGCCCACCGAAAGGUGGAGUAAUACCCUAUAAUAUCGCAAGAUUAAAGACGCAAGUCACUUUAAAAGCGGCCUAUCUACUACCAGCUAGUUGGUGGGGUAAUGGCCUACCAAGGCGAUGACGGUUAACGGCUCUUAGCGGAGAGUCCGUCACAAUGGGACUGAGACACGGCCCAUACACCUACGGGUGGCAGCAGUUAGGAAUUUUGCGCAAUGGACGAAAGUCUGACGCAGCGACACCGCGUGGAGGAUGACGGCCUUCGGGUUGUAAACUCCUUUUCUCUAGACAUGAAGUUUAGGGGAAUAAGCAACUACUAACUACGUGCCAGCAGUCGCGGUAAUACGUAGGUUGCAAGCGUUACUCGGAUUUAUUGGGCGUAAAGCGUCUGUAGGCGGUUUUUUAAGUCUUGUUUCAAAGAUCUCGGCUCAACCGAGGGAAGGGGCAGGAUACUGAAAGACUAGAGUGAUAUCGGAGUUACUGGAAUUUGUAGUGUAGGGGUAAAAUCCGUGGAUACUACAAAGAACACCAAGCGCGAAGGCGGGUAACUAGGUAUUUACUGACGCUCAGAGACGAAAGCUAGGGGAGCAAAUCAGAUUAGAGACCUGAGUAGUCCUAGCUGUAAACAUUGUCCGUUAAUUCCCUGUUUUUUAAUGGGGGAUGUAAGCUAACGCGUUAAACGGACCGCCUGGGGAGUAUAGCCGCAAGGCCGAAACUCAAACGAAUUGGCGGGGAGGCGCACAACCAGUGGAGCAUGUUGUUCAAUUCGAUACGAAGCGAUAAACCUUACCUGGGUUUGAAAUGUAACUGCAAGCCUGACGAAAGUCAGGCCGCCUUCGAGGGUGUUACACAGCUGUUGCAUGGCUGUCGUCAGCUCGUGACGUGAG